rnacentral:rRNA from 1 species
GCUCGAAGUGCGGGUAUCGACAGGAUAGAUACCUGGUAGUCCGCACGGUAAACGAUGGAUGCCCGCUGUUGCGAUAUACUGUGAGCGGCCAAGAGAAAUCGUUAAGCAUCCCACCUGGGGAGUACGCCGGCAACGGUGAAACUCAAAGGAAUUGACGGGGGCCCGCACAAGCGGAGGAACAUGUGGUUUAAUUCGAUGAUACGCGAGGAACCUUACCCGGGCUUGAACUGCCAGCGAACGAUUCAGAGAUGAUGAGGUCCUUCGGGACGCUGGUGGAGGUGCUGCAUGGUUGUCGUCAGCUCGUGCCGUGAGGUGUCGGCUUAAGUGCCAUAACGAGCGCAACCCUUUUCUUUAGUUGCCAUCAGGUAAUGCUGGGCACUCUGGAGAUACUGCCACCGUAAGGUGUGAGGAAGGUGGGGAUGACGUCAAAUCAGCACGGCCCUUACGUCCGGGGCUACACACGUGUUACAAUGGGGGGUACAGAGAGUCGGAUCAACGCAAGUUGGUUCUAAUCCUAAAAGCCUUCCUCAGUUCGGAUUGGGGUCUGCAACCCGACCCCAUGAAGCUGGAUUCGCUAGUAAUCGCGCAUCAGCCAUGGCGCGGUGAAUACGUUCCCGGGCCUUGUACACACCGCCCGUCAAGCCAUGAAAGCCGGGGGCGCUUGAAGUCCGUGACCGCAAGGAUCGGCCUAGAGCGAAACUGGUAAUUGGGGCUAAGUCGUAACAAGGUAGCCGUA